rnacentral:rRNA from 1 species
GAUGAACGCUGGCGGCGUGCCUAAUACAUGCAAGUCGAGCGAACGGACGAGAAGCUUGCUUCUCUGAUGUUAGCGGCGGACGGGUGAGUAACACGUGGAUAACCUACCUAUAAGACUGGGAUAACUUCGGGAAACCGGAGCUAAUACCGGAUAAUAUUUUGAACCGCAUGGUUCAAAAGUGAAAGACGGUCUUGCUGUCACUUAUAGAUGGAUCCGCGCUGCAUUAGCUAGUUGGUAAGGUAACGGCUUACCAAGGCAACGAUGCAUAGCCGGCCUGAGAGGGGGGACGGCCCAAACGGAACUGAAGCAACGUCCAAACUCCUACGGGAGGGCGCCGUAGGGGAUCUUCCGGCAAGGGGCGAAGGCUGACGGAGCAACCGCGGGGGGAGUAAGAAGGUCCUCGGAUCGUUAAAACCUGGUAAUAGGGGAGAAACAAUUUGGAAAUAACUGUGGACAACUUGACGGUAACUAAUCAGAAAGCCACGGCUAACUACGUG